ensembl:lncRNA
UUAUUAGCAAUUGAAGUAAAGACACUAAAUUAAUGUAAUUUAUAUAAUUUAUAUAAAGUAUAUAAUUUAUAUAAAGUAUAUAAUUUANNNNNNNNNNUAUAUAAUUUAUAUAAAGUAUAUAAUUUAUAUAAAGUAUAUAAUUUAUAUAAUUAACAAAAGUGAAAAAAAAAAAAAAAAAAAAAAAAUGCAAAACGUUUAGUGUAAAAUUUUUACACAGCCGUAAUAUGAAAUUUUUAUUUUAUCAAGUUUUAAAUGUAUACAAAACGUAUAUAAGUAAAUUUAUAUAAGUAAAUUGACAUUGUUAUAAAUGUAGAAAUUGUCUAUUUUGUAAUAUUUGUAUGUGUACACUUUGAAAGUGAGAUUAAGUCUGAAAUUUUAUUUUAUUUUUUUUUAUUUUUUUAUAUUUUUUUUACGCUUGCAUAUUUGUUAUAAUUCGCUACAUAAAUAAAUGUUUAUAAUAAUCUACUUUUCAAAAAUGAAAAAAAAACAGUAUUAAUAAAAAUAAGACAUACACACAUAAGCAUAUGUACGUAUGUAUAUGCAUGUGUUUUAAAGCAUAAAUAUUAUACAAGAGUGUGUACGUACGUAAGAACAUAAUAAAAAAAAAAAAAAAAAAAAAAAAAAAAAGAACUGGUAUUACGUACGUGCAUUCCUUAACUAUAUAUAUAUACAUACAUUUCUAUAUGCCCAACAACUGUAUCGCUAAUAAAAAAAAAGAAAAAAAAAAAAAAAAAAAAAAAGGGAUACAUAUGUAAAUAUCUUGAUAUGUCCACAUUUUACAUAUGUACACGUAACAGUUGUAUAAAAAAAAUAAAAUUUUAUAUUUUUACAAAACAGAAUAGAUGACAAUCAGUAAAGAUUCAAAAAAAAAAAAAAAAAACAAUAUAGAACACGUUUUAAAGAAAGUUAAAAAUAAUAAAUCAAUGAAGCAUACUAGUAAUAAAAGGGAGUGUGUAAAAGAGCAUAAUUGUUUAGAUGAGUAUAGAACUGAGAAUGGCAGUACCAAUAUGACCAGAAAUAAAACCUUAACAGAAAACACUGAACUAAUUUGGAGUAUAUUGGACUAUGACUGUGAAAAUGCGAUUGACUUGUUUAAUAAGCAAAGUUAUAUAUUUUUUACAAAAAGAGGUAAGAAAUGUUUUAAAAAACACAUUUUGCCUAUUAUUAUAUUAAACUCAAAACAUAUAAAUGACAUAAAAAAUGAUUUAUUUGAAACAUUAGAUUGUAGUAAUAACAUAGUUAAAAAUAAUAAUAUAACAAAAUUAAAAAGAAUUGCAAAUGAAAAUCAUUUAAGUUUAUUAGUAAAUUGUGAUGGAGAUAAUAUAUGGAGAGAAGACAAAAAUAAAUCGGUUGAUAAAAUGAUGAUUAUAUCUAAAAGUGCUUUUUUUAAAAUAAUAGAAUCUACAAUGAACGAAAAAAUGAGCGAAAAAAUGGAUGAUAAAAUGAAUAAUGAUAAUUAUAAUCUUUAUAAAAUUUUAUUACAUAUGUUUAUGUAUAGAGAAUUAUAUUUUAUUAAUAAAGAGAAAAAUGCUUUUUUAAAAAAAAAUAGUUUAUGUAAACAUGUUGAUUUAUGUUUUCAGUCUAACGUAAACACACUUCUUAAUAAAAUAAGUUAUCGUAUAACAAACAGCUUACAUAAUGAAAAUAUAUCUCCACUUAGCAAUUAUAAUCCUAAACAUACAAAUAGUACUAACAACCUGUUUAUUGAUAGUAAUUACAACAACAACAAUAAUAAUAACAAUAACAGCACUUUAUUAAAACAAGAUUAUGAAAUAAUAGAAAAAGACAAUUUAAUAAAUAAUAUUAUUCAUAAGAGUAUAAUACAAGUAUCACAAAAUGGCAAAUCCCAAAUUCCAGAUAGUUUACAACUAUCAAAUAAAAGUCCCAAACAAAUUGUUAAACUAUCAACUUAUGACAAAAGUAAAUGUUAUGAUAAAGAUAAAUACUAUGAUAAAAUAUAUAAAAAACAAAAAAAAAAAUACAAUGACCCAAUCAAUAUAUUAAAACUGUUUUUAAAAAACGAUAAUAAUUCAUUAUAUUUUAAUAAAUUUAACGAAUUAAAAGAAUGUACUUUUCAGCCAAACGUUCAUAAGUAUGUUUCUAAAGAAUUGGUUAGUCAUGGUAUUGAUAAAAAUUGUCGAAAUGUUAAAAACGAAAAAAAAGAAACGAAUAAACUGAAUAUUGAAAAAAUAUAUACAAAUAAUAAUAAUAAUAUAAUAGCUAAUAAAAUAUAUACAUAUAUGUUAAAAAACUCCUCAGCUUUAAAUGGAAAUAAUAUAGAUAAUGAAAAAGUAACUGAAUAUUUUAAGUUUUGCCUUCAGUAUUAUGGUGCAUAUAAAGACCAAAGCUACCCUGAAGUAGAUACAAAAAAAAGUACACUAAAAUAUCAUGAUAAAUUUCAAGAUCCUAAAUACAGUAGUAUAAAAAAUGCCAACCAUAUCAGUUCUAAGCUCUAUAAACACAAAAAAAAUGUAUACAAAAAAGAAAACAAGAUACAAAAUUCGAAUAGUGCAAAUGGAAUAAUUAUAAACAAAAAUAUGUGGGCUAAUAGCUUAAGAGAAGAAUAUUCACCUAAACCAUUUGACUUUUCAAUGAUAAAUAAAACUGAAAAUAAUUACGAAUUAAAAGCCAAAAAAAAAAUAAAAAAUGAAUAUGACUGGUCGAAAGAAAUAAGAUUAAGUGGGAGAAAAUUAACAACUAAAGUUGUACCUAACUAUGAUUUGUUAAAUCACGUCAUAGGUAAUUUAAACAAUGAUAAUAAACAUAAUAAUCAAAAAGUUUUAGCAACUUGUAAUGGUACAAACAUAGAAAAACAAGAAGGUGUAAAAAAUAAUAUUUGUUUAUAUAACGACUACUCCUAUGCAACUAGUACGCAACCUCCACCUAAAAUCAUGGCAAGUAAAAAUAAUCAUACAAUUUUAAAAAAAAUUGAAAAAGAACUAUUAGCUUUACCCAAAUCAAUAAAAUUUACCCCCAUGUACUGAAAAUAAAAAUUACAUAAAAGUUUAACA